rnacentral:rRNA from 2 species
GGGUUGUGAGGUUAAGCGACUAAGCGUACACGGUGGAUGCCCUGGCAGUCAGAGGCGAUGAAGGACGUGCUAAUCUGCGAAAAGCGCCGGCGAGGUGAUAUGAACCUUUGACCCGGCGAUGUCCGAAUGGGGAAACCCAGUGUGUUCCGACACACUAUCGUUAACUGAAUACAUAGGUUAACGAGGCGAACCGGGGGAACUGAAACAUCUAAGUACCCCGAGGAAAAGAAAUCAACCGAGAUUCCCCCAGUAGCGGCGAGCGAACGGGGAGCAGCCCGGAGUCUGAAUCAGCUUGUGUGUUAGUGGAACGGUCUGGAAAGUCCGACGGUACAGGGUGAUAGUCCCGUACACGAAAAUGCACAUGCUGUGAACUCGAAGAGUAGGGCGGGACACGUGGUAUCCUGUCUGAAUAUGGGGGGACCAUCCUCCAAGGCUAAAUACUCCUGACUGACCGAUAGUGAACCAGUACCGUGAGGGAAAGGCGAAAAGAACCCCGGCGAGGGGAGUGAAAAAGAACCUGAAACCGUGUACGUACAAGCAGUGGGAGCACCUUCGGGUGUGACUGCGUACCUUUUGUAUAAUGGGUCAGCGACUUAUAUUCUGUAGCAAGGUUAACCGUAUAGGGGAGCCGAAGGGAAACCGAGUCUUAACUGGGCGUUAAGUUGCAGGGUAUAGACCCGAAACCCGGUGAUCUAGCCAUGGGCAGGUUGAAGGUUGGGUAACACUAACUGGAGGACCGAACCGACUAAUGUUGAAAAAUUAGCGGAUGACCUGUGGCUGGGGGUGAAAGGCCAAUCAAACCGGGAGAUAGCUGGUUCUCCCCGAAAGCUAUUUAGGUAGCGCCUCGUGAACUCAUCUUCGGGGGUAGAGCACUGUUUCGGCUAGGGGGCCAUCCCGGCUUACCAACCCGAUGCAAACUACGAAUACCGAAGAAUGUUAUCACGGGAGACACACGGCGGGUGCUAACGUCCGUCGUGAAGAGGGAAACAACCCAGACCGCCAGCUAAGGUCCCAAAGUCAUGGUUAAGUGGGAAACGAUGUGGGAAGGCACAGACAGCCAGGAUGUUGGCUUAGAAGCAGCCAUCAUUUAAAGAAAGCGUAAUAGCUCACUGGUCGAGUCGGCCUGCGCGGAAGAUGUAACGGGGCUAAACCAUGCACCGAAGCUGCGGCAGCGACGCUUAUGCGUUGUUGGGUAGGGGAGCGUUCUGUAAGCCGUUGAAGGUGUGCUGUGAGGCAUGCUGGAGGUAUCAGAAGUGCGAAUGCUGACAUAAGUAACGAUAAAGCGGGUGAAAAGCCCGCUCGCCGGAAGACCAAGGGUUCCUGUCCAACGUUAAUCGGGGCAGGGUGAGUCGACCCCUAAGGCGAGGCCGAAAGGCGUAGUCGAUGGGAAACAGGUUAAUAUUCCUGUACUUGGUGUUACUGCGAAGGGGGGACGGAGAAGGCUAUGU